rnacentral:rRNA from 1 species
UACGUAGGGUGCGAGCGUUAAUCGGAAUUACUGGGCGUAAAGUGUGCGCAGGCGGCACCGCAAGUCGAGUGUGAAAGCCCCGGGCUUAACUUGGGAAUUGCGCUCGAAACUAUGGUGCUGGAGUGUGGCAGAGGAAGGUGGAAUUCCAGGUGUAGCGGUGAAAUGCGUAGAGAUCUGGAGGAACACCGAUGGCGGAGGCAGCCUUCUGGGCCAACACUGACGCUCAUGCACGAAAGCGUGGGGAGCAAACAGG